AUUGAACGCUGGCGGAAGGCCUAACACAUGCAAGUCGAACGAGUGGCGGACGGGUGAGUAAUGUCUGGGAAACUGCCUGAUGGAGGGGGAUAACUACUGGAAACGGUAGCUAAUACAGCAUACCAUCAGAUGUGCCCAGAUGGGAUUAGCUAGUUGGUGGGGUACCGUCUCACCAAGGCGACGAUCCCUAGCUGGUCUGAGAGGAUGACCAUCCACACUGGAUCUGAGACACGUUCCAGGUUCCUACGUGCGGCAGCAGUGGGGAAUAUUGCACAAUUGGCGCAAGCCUGAUGCAGCCAUGCCGCGUGUAUGAAGAAGGCCUUCGGGUUGUAAAGUACUUUCAGCGGGGAGGCGUUACCCGCAGAAGAAGCACCGGCUAACUCCGUGCCAGCAGCCGCGGUAAUUC
rnacentral:rRNA from 1 species